rnacentral:lncRNA from 1 species
GUCCUUGCCCGAGGCUAUUAGAGUAUUUAUAGACGAUGAUACCCUAGACUGUUUCCAUCUCGGUCGUCGUGCUGAUCGGCAUCGUCAUCGACGCCGCGUACGAGCCUCGCCGCUUCUCUCGAGAGGACGUGCGCGCUCGUACGUUCCACCUGCGUCGUCCUAGCAAGCGUGAAUCAUCGCGAGGCACGUCGUUCUUUGCGAGAUACGUGCGUCGUGGACGCGUCACGCGACACCUUCUUUUUCUCUUCGAUCUUCCUCGUCCUAAGAUAUUCGUCGUUUCAUUCACACGUUGGUGUAGAUCGUGAGAGAGGUGUGGUAUACAGUUGGAAAAUUUGUGCAUUCUUUGUUGAUUUUAGGUUAGUUGAAAGAUGAGUUCAUUCGUUUAUGGAUUCUGAUUUUGAAACGAGUCGAAAUCGUUGACAGAUUGGAUAAAAUUAGAUUAAUAACAAUAAAAUAGAUGAAGAUGAAGUAUAUGAUACAAAGGCUUGGUCGUGUUCCAAACUUAAACGCGUCUCAUCAUCCGAAGGCGCAGGGACGAUGCUGAAACCUGAUCGGCGAGUCGAAAGAUGCGCGUCACAGGACCAAUUACGUCACCCCGUACAGGUACAGCAUUUUAAUAAACGCCUGGAAUUACCAAGAUCAAGCCUCCCCAUAAAUUUCCUCGAAACUCCAAUCCCUUAUCCUCCGCGAUCCCCUGCUAAUUGCAGUGAACCGCUCGGGCUACCUGUCCCUAUCCCCCGAGAAACGCGGAGAGAAGGAGAGCGCGACAGGUACGACGUUUCGUGCAACAACAAGCGGCGAGGAGGAGGGUGCGUUGACGUCAUUUGCGGCAAUUCGUGUUCUUCGAAAACGGAAAUAUUGAGUGACAUCACCAACCGGUCGAGCCAACUUGAACUCGAGAUUCGUCGACGAUGUCGUGGCCUGUCGGCUCUCUCGAUUGCGAUCUCACCUCCGUUCCUUUUCUUCUCGUCCUCUUCUCGCUCCCUUCUCGGUUGCAUCUGCCUCGCGUUCUUCCUCUUUCUUCGAGGAUACGUAGAGCAUCGUAGCCGCGGGCUGGAUGACUAAACAACGAGAAGGAUCCUCUUCUCGGGCGCGACGGUCCAGGGUCGAUGAAGAAUAUAUAUAUCUCGAUCCAAGUUUCGUUAAUCGAAUGGGGAAUAUACUGUCGUGGGUCUGGAACAAAAUCGACAGAACUUGGACUUCUUUUUUUUUCCACGAUCGAAACUUCGAACUUUUCGAAGAGAUAAGAAAACAAAGGAUCUUUUUUUAACUUGGAACCCGAGAAAGGGAAUUAUCGAAAUUAUAGGAUUGGUUUGGCAAGAUGGCUGACACAUUCGCGCUAUCAGGGAAAUGAUCGUGAGACUUCACCCAUUACGCGCACAACACCGUGGAGCGCAACAAAGGCUACAAAGAUGCAUCUGCGAUUCCAGGAAUAAUGAAGGCUCUCCGCGAAUAAUUAAACAUCGCAUAAAGACCUAAAUACCAGGACGUAUUCAUCGAGCGUCCAAUAAAUCCUUGCUAAAAUAUCGACGACAAUUUCACACCUCACUCGGCUUCUAAUCAAUUCGAGAGAUUCCAACGCUUCGACAAACUUCUUCUUAACCGUGUGUAAACUGUUAGUAAUAGGUUGUCGCGCGUUUCUUUCACACCCUCGGGCUGUAAUUCCUCGGGCAACAUUCAUUCCACGAGGCGAACAACCACACGCGCGCAUCGCCUGUUGCGAAUCGAUUGAAAUUACACCCUUCAGCCGUUUCUUUUCGCGAUUUUCGCGCAACGCGAAUACCGAGGUAACCAGUAGUUUCAAUUAAUGGAGAGUUAAUGGAGAGUCGGUUCAAGGAAAAACGGUGUCGUUUUCUACGUUUUACCUUACACCUAUCUCGAGACUCAAUCGCGGAACGUCGUGAUUUAAUUUUAUCACGGUGUUUGUUGACGCGUUCCUGGAACGGUUGUAAAAAUUACUGAAUGGCGGCGUACGGUGAAUACUUAUAAUACCACGGUCGAAGGUUGUCGCUUGUACAGUCAGGCACGAAGUAUGGCUUAUCACACGAACAUUCUCUGUUAUGAAUAUCUACAAUUUGACGUUUAGUUGUGACGUUUAUGUUUGUGUACACGUUGAAAUUUAUAUUUAUACCCGCCUUCGCCUUCCGUUCCGCAAGGGAACGAGAAUUUUCAACAUUUCUUUCUCGUCAUU